rnacentral:rRNA from 1 species
AUUGAACGCUGGCGGCACGCCUAACACAUGCAAGUCGAGCGGUAGCAUGCUUAGUAGCAAUACUAAGUGAUGACAAGCGGCGGACGGGUGAGGAAUACGUAGGAAUCUACCCUCAAGCGGGGGACAACCAAGGGAAACUUUGGCUAAUACCGCAUAAUCUCGAGAGAGCAAAGCUGCCGUAAGGUGGCACUUGAGGAGGAGCCUGCGUCCGAUUAGCAGUUGGUGAGGUAAGAGCUCACCAAGGCGAUGAUCGGUAACUGGUCUGAGAGGACGACCAGUCACACUGGGACUGAGACACGGCCCAGACUCCUACGGGAGGCAGCAGUGGGAAUAUUGGACAAUGGGGCAACCCUGAUCCAGCGAUGCCGCGU